UUACGGCCAUAUUACGUUGAAACACCGGUUCUCGUACGUAUCACCGAAGUUAAGCAACACCAAGCUUGGUCAGUACCUAGAUGGGUGACCACUUGAUAAUACUAGGUGCUGUAAG